AAAUUUGAAAUCUGGUACCUUUGGUGCCCGAGUUGUAAUUUGGAGAGUACCACUUUGGGACUGUACUUUGCCUAUGUUCCUUGGAACAGGACGUCAUGGAGGGUGAGAAUCCCGUGUGGCGAGGGUGUCAGUUCUUUGUAAAGGGUGCUCGAAGAGUCGAGUUGUUUGGGAAUGCAGCUCUAAGUGGGUGGUAAAUUCCAUCUAAAGCUAAAUACAGGCGAGAGACCGAUAGCGAACAAGUACAGUGAUGGAAAGAUGAAAAGAACUUUGAAAAGAGAGUGAAAAAGUACGUGAAAUUGUUGAAAGGGAAGGGCAUUUGAUCAGACAUGGUGUUUUGCGCCCCUUGCCUCUCGUGGGCUUGGGACUCUCGCAGCUCACUGGGCCAGCAUCGGUUUUGGCGGCCGGAAAAAACCUAGGGAAUGUGGCUCUGCGCCUCGGUGUA
rnacentral:rRNA from 1 species